AGAGUUUGAUCAUGGCUCAGGACGAACGCUGGCGGCGUGCUUAACACAUGCAAGUCGAACGGAGCACCCCUGAAGGAGUUUUCGGACAACGGAUGGGAAUGCUUAGUGGCGGACUGGUGAGUAACGCGUGAGGAACCUGCCUUCCAGAGGGGGACAACAGUUGGAAACGACUGCUAAUACCGCAUGAUGCGUUGGAGCCGCAUGACUCCGACGUCAAAGAUUUAUCGCUGGAAGAUGGCCUCGCGUCUGAUUAGCUAGUUGGUGAGGUAACGGCCCACCAAGGCGACGAUCAGUAGCCGGACUGAGAGGUUGGCCGGCCACAUUGGGACUGAGAUACGGCCCAGACUCCUACGGGAGGCAGCAGUGGGGAAUAUUGGGCAAUGGACGCAAGUCUGACCCAGCAACGCCGCGUGAAGGAAGAAGGCUUUCGGGUUGUAAACUUCUUUUAAGGGGGAAGAGCAGAAGACGGUACCCCUUGAAUAAGCCACGGCUAACUACGUGCCAGCAGCCGCGGUAAUACGUAGGUGGCAAGCGUUGUCCGGAUUUACUGGGUGUAAAGGGCGUGCAGCCGGAGAGACAAGUCAGAUGUGAAAUCCACGGGCUCAACCCGUGAACUGCAUUUGAAACUGUUUCCCUUGAGUGUCGG
rnacentral:rRNA from 1 species